rnacentral:rRNA from 1 species
CCGCAACUGACGCUGAAGCUCGAAGGUGCGGGUAUCGAACAGGAUUAGAUACCCUGGUAGUCCGCACAGUAAACGAUGGAUACUCGCUGUCGGCGAUAUACGGUCGGUGGCCAAGCGAAAGCGUUAAGUAUCCCACCUGGGGAGUACGCCGGCAACGGUGAAACUCAAAGGAAUUGACGGGGGCCCGCACAAGCGGAGGAACAUGUGGUUUAAUUCGAUGAUACGCGAGGAACCUUACCCGGGCUUGAAUUGCUGGUGACGGUUGCUGGAGACAGCUUCCUUCCUUCGGGACUCCAGUGAAGGUGCUGCAUGGUUGUCGUCAGCUCGUGCCGUAAGGUGUCGGCUCAAGUGCCAUAACGAGCGCAACCCUUGCCGUUAGUUGCCAUCAGGUCAUGCCGGGCACUCUAUCGGGACUGCCAUCGUAAGAUGUGAGGAAGGUGGGGAUGACGUCAAAUCAGCACGGCCCUUAUGUCCGGGGCUACACACGUGUUACAAUGGGGGGUACAGAGGGAAGCCACCUGGCGACAGGGCGCGGAUCCCGAAAUCCCUUCUCAGUUCGGAUUGGAGUCUGGAACCCGACUCCAUGAAGCUGGAUUCGCU